rnacentral:rRNA from 1 species
GACAGAGGGGGCAAGCGUUGCUCGGAAUUACUGGGCGUAAAGGGCGCGUAGGCGGGAUGGCAAGUCUGUCGUGAAAUCCCCGGGCUCAACCUGGGAAUGGCGAUGGAGACUGCAAGGCUAGAGUUUGGCAGAGGGGGGUAGAAUUCCACGUGUAGCAGUGAAAUGCGUAGAUAUGUGGAGGAACACCGAUGGCGAAGGCAGCCCCUCGGUCGGCAAACUGAUCGACGCUCAUGCACGAAAGCGUGGGGAGCAAACAGG